AGGAAAGAAAGUGGAGAAAAGAUCUGGAGGCCUUCCAAUGGAGAUACUGAAGAUGUUUUUGUUUCUCAUGAUGUCUCUUUUGGUUCUGGAGUUCAAUGAUUCCAAACAAUUGUCAAGAACAAAGAAAGAAGUGAACCCUGAAACAUUCAUGAAUAUUGGCUCUUUAAUCUGCACUAGAUGAUCCUGAGCCAGUGGUUUUCAACCUUUUUAAUGCCGUGACCCCCAACCGCUCAUAAGUUGAGGACUACCCAACUGGUCGUAAGUUGAGGACUACC